rnacentral:rRNA from 1 species
UACAGAGGCCCCAAGCGUUACUGAGAAUCACUGGGUUUAAAAGGUGCGUAGGUGGCGCGUUAAGUCCGUUGUGAAAGCCCUGGGCUCAACCCAGGAACUGCUUCGGAUACUGGCGCGCUUGAGGCUAGUAGGGGUCACUGGAACUGACGGUGGAGCGGUGAAAUGCGUAGAUAUCGUCAGGAACGCCAAUGGUGAAGACAGGUGACUGGGCUAGUUCUGACACUGAGGCACGAAAGCGUGGGGAGCGAACGGG